GAUGAAGAACCGCAGCGAAAUGCGAUAAGUAGUGUGAAUUGCAGAAUUCAGUGAAUCAUCGAAUCUUUGAACGCACAUUGCGCCCCUUGGUAUUCCAUGGGGCAUGCCUGUUCGAGCGUCAUUUGUACCCUCAAGCUCUGCUUGGUGUUGGGUGUUUGUCCCGCUUUACGUGUGGACUCGCCUUAAAGGAAUUGGCAGCCGGCAUAUUGGUCUUGGAGCGCAGCACAAUUUGCACUUCAUAUCAUGAAUGUUGGUAUCCAUCAAGUACAUUUUACACUCUUGACCUCGGAUCAGGUAGGGAUACCCGCUGAACUUAAGCAUAUCAAUAAGCGGAGGA
rnacentral:misc_RNA from 1 species